UUCUAACCGUAAACGAUGACAACCAGCGAUUAAUCGGCGUUAAUAUAUGACCCGAUUAGCAGCUUCCGGGAAACCAAAGUUUUUCGUUUCCGGGGGAAGUAUGGUUGCAAAGCUGAAACUUAAAGGAAUUGACGGAAGGGCACCACCAGGAGUGGAGCCUGCGGCUUAAUUUGACUCAACACGGGAAAACUCACCCGGCCCGGACACCGUAAGGAUUGACAGACUGAGAGCUCUUUCUUAAUUCGGUGGGUGGUGGUGCAUGGCCGUUCUUAGUUGGUGGAGCGAUUUGUCUGGUUAAUUCCGAUAACGAACGAGACUCUGGCCUAUUAAAUAGACGAUAUAUUUAAAAGUAUAUCGCGCUUCUUAGAGGGACAAGCGGCGUCUAGCCGCAUGAAAUAGAGCAAUAACAGGUCUGUGAUGCCCUUAGAUGUCCGGGGCUGCACGCGCGCUACACUGAAAGAAUCAGAGUGCGUUACGCCUAGUUCGGAAGAACCGGGUAACCCAAGUAAAUUCUUUCGUGCUUGGGAUAGGGAAUUGCAAUUAUUUCCCUUAAACGAGGAA
rnacentral:rRNA from 1 species